rnacentral:rRNA from 1 species
AGCGAACGCUGGCGGCAGGCCUAACACAUGCAAGUCGAACGAACUCUUCGGAGUUAGUGGCGGACGGGUGAGUAACACGUGGGAACGUGCCUUUUGGUUCGGAAUAACUCAGGGAAACUUGUGCUAAUACCGAAUGUGCCCUUCGGGGGAAAGAUUAAUCGCCAUUAGAGCGGCCCGCGUCUGAUUAGCUAGUUGGUGAGGUAACGGCUCACCAAGGCGACGAUCAGUAGCUGGUCUGGGAGGAUGACCAGCCACACUGGGACUGUGACACGGCCCAGACUCCUACGGGAGGCAGCAGUGGGGAAUCUUGCGCAAUGGGCGAAAGCCUGACGCAGCCAUGCCGCGUGAAUGAUGAAGGUCUUAGGAUUGUAAAAUUCUUUCACCGGGGACGAUAAUGACGGUACCCGGAGAAGAAGCCCCGGCUAACUUCGUG